rnacentral:lncRNA from 1 species
GUUCUCACAUCCCCUCCUCUGGCCAUCUCUCUGAGGCUGAUGCUGUUGGAAACAAGGUCAAGGCGCCUCUCAGGCCUUUUCUUCUUCUGAUUCUAUCCCUCUCUUCCGGCAAAGAGCAGGAGCCUGCUAGUGCCUACAUGGGAGGGCAGGGCCACCAGGGCGACAGUGUUGUGUGUGCGGGUGGAAGCACAGGGAGCUAUCUAUUGUGAUGAACCCCAGCAAGGAGGGAGGAAUGUGGCUACGAGCGAUGCCUGGAUUGCUGCUUGAUUUUUCUAACACUUUCCUACUUCUCGCCUGCAGAUGAAGCAGCAGCAGAAAAAAUGGAAGCCAUUUUGGUUAACGGGUCACAUCUUAGCAGUUGGCAGCGUAAGAAGCGGAAGGAUCCACUGGUCAGAAAUGGAGAUUGAGGAGAAGCUGAGAGCACGGAGGGCUUCAGGGGAGAGCCUGUCCUUUGGAAAAGCGGGCAAUUUGCACUCGUGGUAGAUGAGUGGGGAGGCCGCUCAGUCUCUCUGCCCCUUUGCACAUGCUGCACCCGUUUAGUUUGACGUCGUGGAGAGCUCCUCCAGGCACGGGCUGUGUGAAAGGGUUUAAAAGUUUGGGGGCAUGGCUGGGGGUCCCCGCAUGAGGGGUGCUGUGUAGGCUCCCAUCUUUUCUGCCGGUCAUGCUGGGAGCCAACAGCACCGGCUCCUGACGUGGGGACUUGCCCUGUGCCAUGACGUGGGGACUCGCCCUGUGCCCUGCGCCCCGGUUCCUGCUGGUUCUGUGCCUUCUGGACUCAUUUCCUUUCCAGGGUCCGCAACCGCUUCCGACACAAUCACUAUUUUGGCUGCGGCCACGGCUUCAUUCGCUUCAGCUGCGAGCUUUUCUCAGCGCAGAGAGCACAGGGAAGCUGGGAGGAGUCCGCCUAGAUGGGGGCCAGAUGCCUGAGGACCUGCAGGAGGCCAGGGCUGCAUGCUGAAUGAGAA